GAAAUCAUAAUUCAACAAUCCGAUCAGUCAGGGCUUCUUUUAAGUGUGACCCCAUAGGUUCUAUUCUAUCUAGUAGUAAAAUAUAUUUUGAUCUCCAUCAAAAUAUUAUUAAAACUUCUUUCAAUAGAUUGGAAUACUUUCUAAUUCAGCCAAUUAAGAAUUAUUGAUCAUCUAAUAAUUCUCAAUGGCCCCACAAUCCAUCAGUGAUACCUAGCAGUAUGUAGUGGCAAUCUAGCAGAAUAGAAAGAAUAAACCUCUAGGUGUAGUUACCAUAUGAUACAAUUCUUCUAUUGUGAGUUUCGAUAAGAUGGAGGUUAAGAAAAAUUUAUCAAGCCCCAUCAUCUAUCAUAUGUAAGAUUUAUUUGACUUGAGUUUUUAUAUGAAAACUAUGAAAAUACUUUUUCAUCAUUUACUCUGCCCUGGCCAAAGACUUCUAAACUCAGUCUCAUAAAUCAUAUAGAACUACUCCUUAUCUACUAAGAUAUAUAGAUCCUAUCUAGAUGCACACCCUACUCCUACAACAAAUCUACUGCAGUC
rnacentral:lncRNA from 1 species